rnacentral:rRNA from 1 species
UACGUAGGGACCGAGCGUUGUCCGGAAUCAUUGGGCGUAAAGGGCGCGUAGGUGGGUCUGUAUGUCUGCCGUGAAAGCGUACGGCUCAACCGUAUUUUGUCGGUAGAAACUGCAGGACUUGAGGCUGGGAGGGGCUGGUGGAAUUCCCUGUGUAGCGGUGAAAUGCGUAGAGAUGGGGGAGAACACUCGUGGCGAAGGCGGCCAGCUAGACCAGUUCUGACACUGAGGCGCGACAGCGUGGGGAGCAAACAGG